rnacentral:rRNA from 1 species
UACGUAGGCAGCAAACGUUGUUCGGAAUUACUGGGCGUAAAGAGUGUGUAGGCGGCUUGGCGUGUUUGGUGUGAAAUCUCCCGGCUUAACUGGGAGGGUGCGCCGAAAACUGCCAGACUAGAGUACUGGAGAGGAAAGCGGAAUUCCUGGUGUAGCGGUGAAAUGCGUAGAUAUCAGGAGGAACACCGGUGGUGUAGACGGCUUUCUGGACAGUCACUGACGCUGAGACACGAAAGCGUGGGGAGCAAACAGG